rnacentral:rRNA from 1 species
GACGAACGCUGGCGGCGUGCUUAACACAUGCAAGUCGAGCGGAGCGGCGAACGGGUGAGUAACGCGUGAGUAACUGCCCCCCUCUCUGGGAUAACAGUUGGAAACGGCUGCUAAUACCGGAUAGUGGGGGAUGACUCGCGUCCUAUCAGCUUGUUGGUGUGGUAGUGGCCUACCAAGGCGACGAAGGGUAGCCGGCCUGAGAGGGCGACAGGCACCAUUGGUUGGAGAUACGGACGAAACUCCUACGGGAGGCAGCAGUGGGAAGAUUGCCCAAUGGGGGAAACCCUGAUGCAGCUACGCGCGUGCGUGAUGACGGCCUUCGGGUUGUAAACCGCUUUCAGCCAUGACGCGGUAGUGGUAGAAGAAGCACCGGCUAUCUACGUGCCAGCAGCCGCGGUAAUUC